rnacentral:rRNA from 1 species
GACGGAGGAUGCAAGCGUUAUCCGGAAUGAUUGGGCGUAAAGCGUCUGUAGGUGGUUCGAAAAGUCCACUGUUAAAAAUUGAGGCUUAACUUCAAAGAUGCCGUGGAAACUUUCAAACUAGAGUAUGGUAGGGGUAGAGGGAAUUUCCAGUGGAGCGGUGAAAUGCGUAGAUAUCGGGAAGAACACCAGUGGCGAAAGCGCUCUACUGGGCCAUAACUGACACUGAGGGACGAAAGCUAGGGGAGCGAAAGGG